rnacentral:rRNA from 1 species
UUAAGCGACCAAGCGUACACGGUGGAUGCCCUGGCAGUCAGAGGCGAUGAAGGACGUGCUAAUCUGCGAUAAGCGCCGGUAAGGUGAUAUGAACCGUUAUAACCGGCGAUUUCCGAAUGGGGAAACCCAGUGUGAUUCGUCACACUAUCAUUACGUGAAUACAUAGCGUAAUGAAGCGAACCGGGGGAACUGAAACAUCUAAGUACCCCGAGGAAAAGAAAUCAACCGAGAUUCCCCCAGUAGCGGCGAGCGAACGGGGAGGAGCCCAGAGCCUGAAUCAGCAUGUGUGUUAGUGGAAGCGUCUGGAAAGGCGCGCGAUACAGGGUGACAGCCCCGUACACAAAAGCGCAUAUGCUGUGAGCUCGAUGAGUAGGGCGGGACACGUGGUAUCCUGUCUGAAUAUGGGGGGACCAUCCUCCAAGGCUAAAUACUCCUGACUGACCGAUAGUGAACCAGUACCGUGAGGGAAAGGCGAAAAGAACCCCGGCGAGGGGAGUGAAACAGAACCUGAAACCGUGUACGUACAAGCAGUGGGAGCACAGGUUUACCUGUGUGACUGCGUACCUUUUGUAUAAUGGGUCAGCGACUUAUAUUCUGUAGCAAGGUUAACCGCAUAGGGGAGCCGAAGGGAAACCGAGUCUUAACCGGGCGUUAAGUUGCAGGGUAUAGACCCGAAACCCGGUGAUCUAGCCAUGGGCAGGUUGAAGGUUGGGUAACACUAACUGGAGGACCGAACCGACUAAUGUUGAAAAAUUAGCGGAUGACCUGUGGCUGGGGGUGAAAGGCCAAUCAAACCGGGAGAUAGCUGGUUCUCCCCGAAAGCUAUUUAGGUAGCGCCUCGUGAACUCAUCUCCGGGGGUAGAGCACUGUUUCGGCUAGGGGGCCAUCCCGGCUUACCAACCCGAUGCAAACUGCGAAUACCGGAGAAUGUUAUCACGGGAGACACACGGCGGGUGCUAACGUCCGUCGUGAAGAGGGAAACAACCCAGACCGCCAGCUAAGGUCCCAAAGUCAUGGUUAAGUGGGAAACGAUGUGGGAAGGCCCAGACAGCCAGGAUGUUGGCUUAGAAGCAGCCAUCAUUUAAAGAAAGCGUAAUAGCUCACUGGUCGAGUCGGCCUGCGCGGAAGAUGUAACGGGGCUAAACCAUGCACCGAAGCUGCGGCAGCGACACUGUGUGUUGUUGGGUAGGGGAGCGUUCUGUAAGCCUGCGAAGGUGGCCUGUGAGGGUUGCUGGAGGUAUCAGAAGUGCGAAUGCUGACAUAAGUAACGAUAAAGCGGGUGAAAAGCCCGCUCGCCGGAAGACCAAGGGUUCCUGUCCAACGUUAAUCGGGGCAGGGUGAGUCGACCCCUAAGGCGAGGCCGAAAGGCGUAGUCGAUGGGAAACGGGUUAAUAUUCCCGUACUUGGUGUUACUGCGAAGGGGGGACGGAGAAGGCUAUGUUGGCCGGGCGACGGUUGUCCCGGUUUAAGCAUGUAGGCGGAUGUUCCAGGUAAAUCCGGAACGUUACUAACGCUGAGGUGUGAUGACGAGGCACUACGGUGCUGAAGCAACAAAUGCCCUGCUUCCAGGAAAAGCCUCUAAGCAUCAGGUAACAUCAAAUCGUACCCCAAACCGACACAGGUGGUCAGGUAGAGAAUACCAAGGCGCUUGAGAGAACUCGGGUGAAGGAACUAGGCAAAAUGGUGCCGUAACUUCGGGAGAAGGCACGCUGACACGUAGGUGAAGUGGUUUACCCAUGGAGCUGAAGUCAGUCGAAGAUACCAGCUGGCUGCAACUGUUUAUUAAAAACACAGCACUGUGCAAACACGAAAGUGGACGUAUACGGUGUGACGCCUGCCCGGUGCCGGAAGGUUAAUUGAUGGGGUUAGCGCAAGCGAAGCUCCUGAUCGAAGCCCCGGUAAACGGCGGCCGUAACUAUAACGGUCCUAAGGUAGCGAAAUUCCUUGUCGGGUAAGUUCCGACCUGCACGAAUGGCGUAAUGAUGGCCAGGCUGUCUCCACCCGAGACUCAGUGAAAUUGAACUCGCUGUGAAGAUGCAGUGUACCCGCGGCAAGACGGAAAGACCCCGUGAACCUUUACUAUAGCUUGACACUGAACAUUGAGCCUUGAUGUGUAGGAUAGGUGGGAGGCUUUGAAGCGUGGACGCCAGUCUGCGUGGAGCCGACCUUGAAAUACCACCCUUUAAUGUUUGAUGUUCUAACGUGGACCCGUAAUCCGGGUUGCGGACAGUGUCUGGUGGGUAGUUUGACUGGGGCGGUCUCCUCCUAAAGAGUAACGGAGGAGCACGAAGGUUGGCUAAUCCUGGUCGGACAUCAGGAGGUUAGUGCAAUGGCAUAAGCCAGCUUGACUGCGAGCGUGACGGCGCGAGCAGGUGCGAAAGCAGGUCAUAGUGAUCCGGUGGUUCUGAAUGGAAGGGCCAUCGCUCAACGGAUAAAAGGUACUCCGGGGAUAACAGGCUGAUACCGCCCAAGAGUUCAUAUCGACGGCGGUGUUUGGCACCUCGAUGUCGGCUCAUCACAUCCUGGGGCUGAAGUAGGUCCCAAGGGUAUGGCUGUUCGCCAUUUAAAGUGGUACGCGAGCUGGGUUUAGAACGUCGUGAGACAGUUCGGUCCCUAUCUGCCGUGGGCGCUGGAGAACUGAGGGGGGCUGCUCCUAGUACGAGAGGACCGGAGUGGACGCAUCACUGGUGUUCGGGUUGUCAUGCCAAUGGCACUGCCCGGUAGCUAAAUGCGGAAGAGAUAAGUGCUGAAAGCAUCUAAGCACGAAACUUGCCCCGAGAUGAGUUCUCCCUGAGACUAUAAGUCUCCUGAAGGAACGUUGAAGACGACGACGUUGAUAGGCCGGGUGUGUAAGCGCAGCGAUGCGUUGAGCUAACCGGUACUAAUGAACCGUGAGGCUUAACCUU